GAUUGUUGAGUGUCGGAAAUGGUUCCCGACGCACCUGUUUACAGGUACCUGAGAUGAUGGAUACACCGCCCAUCCAAUAAUC
rnacentral:ncRNA from 12 species